rnacentral:rRNA from 1 species
CAGCCGCCACGGGAAUACGGAGGGGGCUAGCGUUGUUCGGAAUUACUGGGCGUAAAGCGCACGUAGGCUGCUUUGUAAGUCAGAGGUGAAAGCCCGGGGCUCAACCCCGGAUGUGCCUUUGAGACUGCAGGGCUAGAACGUCGGAGAGGUGAGUGGAAUUCCGAGUGUAGAGGUGAAAUUCGUAGAUAUUCGGAAGAACACCAGUGGCGAAGGCGGCUCACUGGACGACUGUUGACGCUGAGGUGCGAAAGCGUGGGGAGCAAACAGGAUUAGAUACCCGUGUAGUCCCUGUCUCUUAUAC